AACGAACGCUGGCGGCAUGCCUAACACAUGCAAGUCGAACGAGACCUUCGGGUCUAGUGGCGCACGGGUGCGUAACGCGUGGGAACCUGCCCUUAGGUUCGGAAUAACUCCCCGAAAGGGGUGCUAAUACCGGAUAAUGUCUUCGGACCAAAGAUUUAUCGCCUUUGGAUGGGCCCGCGUUGGAUUAGCUAGUUGGUAGGGUAAAAGCCUACCAAGGCGACGAUCCAUAGCUGGUCUGAGAGGAUGAUCAGCCACACUGGGACUGAGACACGGCCCAGACUCCUACGGGAGGCAGCAGUGGGGAAUAUUGGACAAUGGGCGAAAGCCUGAUCCAGCAAUGCCGCGUGAGUGAUGAAGGCCGUAGUGUUGUAAAGCUCUUUUACCCGGGAUGAUAAUGACAGUACCGGGAGAAUAAGCACCGGCUAACUCCGUG
rnacentral:rRNA from 1 species